CUUCCAACACCACCACGUCGUUGCUCCGAGAUCCGAACCCCAACUGGUCCAACCUGCCUCCAAGGAGUUUAUCCUCCUCGAUUGGUGCAACUUCGAGCACCAAGUGCCAGCAUGGUUCUAAAGCUCACCUCUCUCUCUCUCUCUCUCUCUCUCUCUCUCGUAGCCCCGCUCUCCUCUCUCUCUCUCUCUCUCUCUGUUUCUCUCUCCGGCACGGCCGCACGACGCCUUUUCUUUCUUCGACGGUGACGCCGUGAUGGACUGACGGUGCGCGUCUGGGUUUGGCUCGAACUCUACUAGGUGAAGCAGCUUCAAUUUCAGUUUUCGACUCGAUUUUGGAAACUUCAAGCUUGGAAACAGUUGGAGGAAACUUCAUUGGUGUUUUUAAUAUGGG